GCCACCGUGUCAAAGUUCUGGCUGGCUGCACACGUGGUCCUAUGCCCAAAACAGUUCCAGGGCGCUUGGUGCUUUGGCUAGUCAACUUUUGGAGCUCCUGUUGCCGCAAUAUGGGAUGCUCCACCUGGGUCUCGGGUAGCGUUUGUUCCCCUUAGUCUCAGUCACCUUCCCUCUAAAAAGCGCUCUCCUGGCAGAUUUCAAAGUCAUUCAAAACCCCGG